CUAAUUUGACCUAAUCUGAUUGAAUCCAAUUCAAUCAGACUUGAUCCAAACUUUAAUGAUCAAUCAAAUUGAGUUAAUUAAUGAUAUAAUUACUAAUUAAUCAUCCAUUAAUAAUAGAGUCCUAGUCUAGUAGGACUCUUCAGCAGAGUCCCCAUCCAGUGGGACUCUUCAUCAGAGUCCCAAUCCAGGAGGGCUCUUCAGAUUAGCCAU
rnacentral:lncRNA from 1 species